rnacentral:rRNA from 1 species
GUAGGGAAUAUUGCGCAAUGGGGGAAACCCUGACGCAGCGACGCCGCGUGAGUGAUGAAGGCCUUCGGGUCGUAAAGCUCUGUUGCAGGGGAAUAAAAAAAUGAAGGUACCCUGUGAGGAAGGAUCGGCUAACUUCGUGCCAGCAGCCGCGGUAAGACGAGGGAUCCUAGCGUUGCUCGGAAUCAUUGGGCGUAAAGAGGGCGUAGGUGGCUUGGUAAGUCAGGUGUGAAAGCCCAGGGCUCAACCCUGGAAGUGCAUUUGAUACUGCUGAGCUUGAGUGUCGGAGAGGUUACCGGAAUACCUGGUGUAGUGGUGAAAUACGUAGAUAUCAGGUGGAACACCGGAGGCGAAGGCGGGUAACUGGACGAACACUGACACUGAGGCCCGAAAGCGUGGGGAUCAAACAGGAUUAGAAACCCCAGUAGUCCU